rnacentral:rRNA from 1 species
GUACGGGAGGCAGCAGUGGGGAAUAUUGCACAAUGGGCGAAAGCCUGAUGCAGCUAUGCCGCGUGUAUGAAGAAGGCCUUAGGGUUGUAAAGUACUUUCAUCGGGGAGGAAAAACAAAACUAAUAAUUUUAUUUCUUGACGUUACCCGAAAAAGAAGCACCGGCUAACUCCGUGCCAGCAGCCGCGGUAAUACGGAGGGUGCUAGCGUUAAUCAGAAUUACUGGGCGUAAAGAGCACGUAGGUGGUUUUUUAAGUCAGAUGUGAAAUCCCUGGGCUUAACCUAGGAACUGCAUUUUGAAACUGAAAUACUAGAGUAUCGUAGAGGGAGGUAGAAUUCUAGGUGUAGCGGUGAAAUGCGUAGAUAUCUGGAGGAAUACCUGUGGCGAAAGCGGCCUCCUAAACGAAUACUGACACUGAGGUGCGAAAGCGUGGGGAGCAAACAGGGAUUAGAUACC